rnacentral:lncRNA from 1 species
CUUGGGUGCAAUGCUUAUCAUCCAGAAGAGAUCCACCUGUGGAACCUCUCCUUGUGCCCUGACCUGCAAAAGGAAAGAGCAGAAUUCCAGUGCCUACUGUGGUGGUACUUUCAACAGUUCUAGCUGUUGAGGCUUCUACUCUGCUCUAGAGCAGAGACUGACAGAGACUCUUGUAUGCAAAAAGCAGAAAAACAAAUCAGUGGAUGUGAAACAAGGAAGACAGCCAAUCAGAAAUCCUCAACUAAGGUGGGAAGAGAAGGUGUGAUGCUCCCCAAGAGAAUUUUAAUGAUGAGAUGAGUGCCACAUGGAUCUGUGCAUGCAGAAAGAUUGUUGCACCGAAGAAGAGGAACUCCAAAUUAAAAAUUUAGGAGUUAUACAGGGACUGCAGCUUCCUUUCUCUUCUCCUGAAAAAAGAAGAGAAACCAUAUUUCCCUAAGACAGAAGGAAGAUAAGAGUAUCACAAGGAUAACCUCUGUGAGUAGAGCAUGGCUUAUCUUCUUGGCCUAUUGAAGAUUUCAUCAAAGGUAUUUAGAUCCUAAAUCAUUGGUGGUGUGCUACACCCUUGUUUUGCUAAAGCCAACUUACCAACAGCCCGAGAAUGAAGCCAACACAGAACUGCUAGGAGAGAUUUGGAAGAAAGCAAAAGCAAAAACAAAAUGAAAACACCCUGCUUAAGCCUUUAAUUGCAGUUCUGUGCAUAGGAACAUUGACUUCCUGUAAUAAAAUUUUAUCUAAAAUAGUAGAGCAUGUUAGGGAGGUGUCUUUUCAGAACUUAUGUUUAUUAUUCUGGAAUAAACCAAAUUCAUCUCUGACUUGAAGUGAAGGUAAAAGAAAAAGAAACAUAAGCUAGACUACAAAAUUUCUAAUUCAUGAUGUCUUCCCAUAAGGACAUGACUUAUUUUACAAAAAUAGUUCCCUAAUCACUCUCUUCUCAAUGAAAACAUGUUUUGAUGAUUUACAUGGGCAUCUGGGACAUAUAACAUUCCUGCUGACUAGAGCCACGUGAAUGCAACUGUCAGUAGACAACUGUUUCUUCUGUUUUAUUUGGUGAAAGUAAUAUUUCUGUAAAAUAUGACAGCUUGGGGAAAUUUCUGCAUUCUCUAAGCAUACAGAUUGGGUUUAUAUUUACGAUUCCUCUAACACUUGAAAUCUUGUUUGUUUUGAAAUAUUUUGAUUUAAAGGAUUAAGGGCUUUUUUAGAAUUACAUAUCUUGUAUAAUAAAAUAUAAGAAUGUGGAUAAUAUGUACCUUAAUCUUUCUUCAGAGAUUCAUAAACUCUUUUCUAAGCUCUUCAUAACAUGAUUCACAAUAAGAUGGAAUGCUGUUAUUGUGCAGAAGAGAAUGAUACAAUUUUGCUUUAGUAAUGUGAAUGAGAGUAUUUACUAAACAUUAGGAUCUCGUAGCUUUUGUUGGAUAUAUUUAGAAAAAUAUGCAUGUGACAUGCGAAACAUAAUGAAAAAUAUAUUGACGUUAUUAACUAAAGAUUGCAGAUCAAAUCUGAAUUGCUAGGCAAAGAGGACAUUAACUCUUUUCCAUAUUCUACUGUAGAUUUACUUCCAUCUUCUCUAAAAAGAAUCUUUUUUAAUACAGGUGAACAAUUAGCCUGCCUUUGAAUAUUCCUUAGAAUUCAAAAUUAUCUUGAUUUAUCUAUUAAGACAAAUCUCACACAGGCCAUUAUGUCUUAGAAAUUCUGGGUACACUGCUCUUUUUUACUCGUUUAACACAUCGCAAACUGAAUUAAUCAAAUCUUUUAUUUUCUAAUUAGAUGUGGCUUUGAGCAAGACUUCUGCUUUAAAGACAAGCAUGGACAGGGAUAUAAUAAACACAUUUAUAUCAGUGUAUUCUUAAAAUUAAUAAUUUAAUUUAUAAAUACCUAAGCAUAUAAAAUAUGCUUAAAGAAAUAGUUGCUUCUAGGUUGCAAUUGUCACAUACAAUUCCUUAAAAAUAAAAUCUCAGUCUCUUUGAAUAUAUAACUGGAUUAAUGGUCACUGUAAUGAUCUUUAAAUUACUGUUUUAAAGCGUGAUGGAUUUAAAUAGGUUUAUAAAGGAUAAAACAUACAUGCUCUUAUUUAUUUAGCAAUAAUUUACUAAAAUAACAGUAAAAAUUCAUGUAAUUAUUUUCUUUCUGUAUAUGUAAUAAAAUAAAAAUAUUACCUGCUUAAAUGUUGGCAGAGAAUAUUUAUUUACUUUGACAAAUGUUUCAUUAGAGUUAGCACCUCUACCAUCAAUUAGCAUUCCAUAGUUUUAUAGCUAAUAUACAACUUAUAAUCUGCCAUCUUCCAAACCAUUUGUUCUGGAAUAUCAUUUUUGUAUUAUGUUGUCUAUUGAAGUUUAGAGAGUCACAUAUAUAAUUUAUGCAUUGUAAUGUAGAACCAUUUCUAAACGUUUGUCUCAGGGCAAUAAUGCAUCUGACAUAAGGAAGUAUUAUCUAUGUUUUUUCUAGUUUUAAAUAUCUAUCAUGCCGCAUACAAUGAGACACUUAAUUACUCUAGUUCUGUUCCAUGUUUCUAGUGCUAUGUGUUCCGUGAAAAAUCAGGAAUAGUUUAAUAAGCAAUAUUACUAAACUGGAUUAUGAAAUAAAUCACAAAAUACAAGUUCUUGUUAAUGGUGACUAUAUUUAAUAACAAUAGAUUGAAUACUCAAAAAUCACUAAGAGAAUAUAUUUUGUGUUCUCACCACAAAAGAAAUGAUAAGUGUAUUGGGUAAUGCAUAUGUUAAUCAGCUCUAAUUAGCCAUUCCACAACAAUACAUAUUUUAAAACUAUGUUG